CAUAGUUAUAGCACUAUAGCAUAGAAGACCCAAUUGAGGCAGGCUUAAAGGACUUCACAUCAGUAGCGCCAUGAAUAGGAGGAUAGAAGCUGUGUUGCACCGCAUGUUCCUCUAAUUUUCUAGCACUUGGUUAUUCCACAUGAAAGGAUUAGAUCUGAGCACAGACCUUUAUCAAUACUGCUCCUCAGCAACUAUAGUAUAGGGAUAAGCUUCUUUGACCGUCCAUAGGGAGUGGAGCC
rnacentral:lncRNA from 1 species